rnacentral:lncRNA from 1 species
CCCCCUUGGCCCAUUGGUUGACCAAGGGUUAAUUAAUGCUUCUACACCAAGAGGUCUGGGGUUCGAGUCCCAGAUAUUGCGAUUUAUUAAUAAAUUUGCAGAUUAAAUGAGGCAAGUGUGCAAGAGAUCUCCAGCGAAGUACAAUUAUAGCCGUUCGCCAGGAUUCUACGCAGAGAGAGAAGUGUCGUUAGGUCGUGGAUCAUUGAAGGUGUCCGUCAAGAGCAUGGAGAAAGAAGUGUCGUCUGUCGUGGAUCUAAUAAGGGUCGGAAGGAAUUGUCCGUU